CCUACGGGAGGCUGCAGUAGGGAAUAUUGCUCAAUGGGGGAAACCCUGAAGCAGCAACGCCGCGUGGAGGAUGAAGGUUUUCGGAUUGUAAACUCCUUUUGUUAGAGAAGAUAAUGACGGUAUCUCACGAAUAAGCACCGGCUCACUCCGUGCCAGGAGCCGCGGGAAUACGGAGGGUGCAAGCGUUACUCGGAAUCACUGGGCGUAAAGAGCGCGUAGGCGGGAUAGCAAGUCAGAUGUGAAAUCCUAUGGCUUAACCAUAGAACUGCAUUUGAAACUGUUAUUCUAGAGUAUGGGAGAGGUAGGUGGAAUUCUUGGUGUAGGUGUAAAAUCCGUAGAGAUCAAGAGGAAUACUCAUUGCGAAGGCGACCUGCUAGAACAUAACUGACGCUGAGGCGCGAAAGCGUGGGGAGCAAACAGGAUUAGAUACCCUUGUAGUC
rnacentral:rRNA from 1 species